CUGGGGUGCCAGCAGGACGGACAGCAGAGCCCGAGGCUGAGGGGGAGCCCAGGGACACAGGUCAGGAGCCCUAGGGGUUCAGACUGGGGAGGUGAGACCACCAGGCUGCUUGUGAGCACAGAGUUGGGGCCUCCCCUGCACUGGGGCUCCUAGACGGGGCUGUUCCUACAUUUGCUCUGCAAUGAUCUCCUGAGCCCACUGCAGGAGCUGAGGUAACAGGAGAGACCUGAAUGGGCUAAUCUACUGGACAGUGAGGUCCCAGGGCUAACAGUUGGCCCCGCCCUUGGGGUGUGGAAGAGCCCAAGGUCUCUUGAGUGACGUCUUUCAUCCUCUCUUCCUCUAUGUUCUAGAUGCUUCCCCAGCCUCACUGUAGGCCCAGAUGGAUCCAGCAGGGAGGCAGCCUGCCAUGGGCCCCUGCUCAGGGGACCCCCAACUGGGCGGGGCCUCCUGGCUCCUGGGACUCACCAGCCUCCUCCUCAGGGUCAAGACCCUGCAGGUGAGCGAGUUCGUGUGACCUGGUCAAGGGGACGCUGCCCUGGGACAGGAGUGAUUCCAGCAUCGCUUCACAUUCAUGCAUUCCCUGCCUUCCAGGAGUCACGGAGCACAUGGGAGGGAUUUCAUGACAAGAUAGGUUCUAGGGGGGACGCCUGGGAGGCUCAGCAGUUGAGCAUCUGCCUUUGGCUUAGGUUGUGAUCCUGAGGGUUAGGAUUGGGUCCCACAUCAGUCUCCUUGCGGGGAUCCUGCUUCUCCCUCUGCCUAUGUAUCUGCCUCCUUCCUUGUGUCUCUCAUGAACAAAUAAAUAAAAUCUUUUUUUUUUUUUUUUUAAAGAUGUAUUCUAUGGUUUUCUCCUUUAUUCCUACUGGAAAACCAUUCACAUUUUCUGUGUCCUAUGCCCUAGGUGUCGGCAGCCCUGGGACCCAGAGUUCUGGAAACGCUGUUUCCCUGAAGGGGAUGCAAGGAGCUUCUGUGUCCUUUCAUGUGAUCAGAAAUCCAGACUUGCCUCCAGUAGAUGAGCUGGAGAAGAUAUCAUGGGGCAUUGUAUUCAGAUCGAACUACAUAGUCAUGCUGCAGGUCUUUCCUGGGGCAGAUGUUCCAGAAUGGGUCAACUGGCAGGACAAGUUCCAGAAGAGGGUCCAUGUGUUCAACAUAACCACCCUGAGGAUUGACAACCUGACCCUGGAGGACACUGGGCUGUACCGGGCUCGAGACUCCUACACGAGAGGAAGACAAUACGACCAGGAUUUCCACCUGACUGUGUAUGAGCCUCUGCCCCUUCCCCAGAUCAGGACCACGAAUCUGUCCAUCACCCCAGGCUGGUGCAAUGUCACUGUGCAGUGUGACGCCCCGGGAACCAGGGAGGACCUGACCAUGUCCUGGGAGAGCAAGGGUCUCCCCAGGGAGCUGGAACAACGAGAGGCCACAGGACCAGCCCCCAACCCCUGGACCCUGGCUCUGAGCCUGCCCCUGAACCAGCCCAAUGCCAGCCUCACCUGUGUGCUCAGGAACCAGGUGGACCAGACAACUGCCACCUUGGACCUUGGGGACAUCUGUGGCCACACAGAUCCACAGGGACAGAGUGAUGCUGACCAUCUACCCGGCAUCCUGGUGACUGUUGUGGUCCUGCUGCUGAUCCUGGGAGCUGGACUGUUUCUCUGGAGGAGAGGGGUGAAGAAGAGCCUGGAGCCUGGGAGAGGCAGGUUGCACUUCUCCUCCCCGGGCCCUGGACCCUGGGCUCCCUUCCUCCUGCUUUUACUGCUCAGGGGAUGUCCCUGCAGGAGGCUGGUGGGGGCAGCCAUGGCCUUGGGGUCAUAG
rnacentral:lncRNA from 12 species